rnacentral:rRNA from 1 species
AAAUAAUACAAUUAAAUUAUUUUAGUUUUAAUUAAUUGAUAAUUUUAAAUUUAAAUUAUAAAUUUAAUAAGUGAAAUUUUAAAUUUUGGUAAGAUUUACAUUUUGUUAAUGAUUUAAGAAAUUUUAAUUAUAAACUAGGAUUAGAUACCCUAUUAUUUAAAGCGUAAUUAUAAAAACUAAAUUAGUAUAAGAUAUGUUCUCGAAAAUUAAAGAUUUUGGCGGUAUUUUAGUCUAUUCAGAGGAACCUGUUCUGUAAUUGAUAGUCCACGAUUUAAUUUACUUAUUUUAUUAAUUUACAUAUCGUCGUAGUUUGAAUAUUUUAUUAGAAUUUUAAUAUUCAAGAUUUUUAAUAAUAAAAAAAAUCAGAUCAAGGUGUAGUUUAUAAAUAAGAAGAAAUGGGUUACUAUAAUAAAAAUUUAGAAUAAUUAUUUUUGAAAUAAUUUGAAUAAGGAUUUGAAAGUAAUUUUAAUUAAUUAAUUAAAAUGAUUUUAGCUCUAAAAU